rnacentral:rRNA from 1 species
AGGUCUUGACAUCUUUUGACAAUCCUAGAGAUAGGACUUUCCCUUCGGGGACAAAAUGACAGGUGGUGCAUGGUUGUCGUCAGCUCGUGUCGUGAGAUGUUGGGUUAAGUCCCGCAACGAGCGCAACCCUUAUUGUUAGUUGCCAGCAUUAAGUUGGGCACUCUAGCAAGACUGCCGGUGACAAACCGGAGGAAGGUGGGGAUGACGUCAAAUCAUCAUGCCCCUUAUGACCUGGGCUACACACGUGCUACAAUGGACGGUACAACGAGUCGCAAGACCGCGAGGUUUAGCAAAUCUCUUAAAGCCGUUCUCAGUUCGGAUUGUAGGCUGCAACUCGCCUACAUGAAGUCGGAAUCGCUAGUAAUCGCGGAUCAGCAUGCCGCGGUGAAUACGUUCCCGGGCCUU